rnacentral:tRNA from 1 species
UGGAGUAUAGCUAAAUGUUAAAGCCCUUUCCUAGCAUGAGCAGGUUAGAGGUCCUUGGUUCAAUCCCAAGUACCACAA